AGUGAACGCUGGCGGUAGGCCUAACACAUGCAAGUCGAACGGCAGCACAUUAAGCGCUUGCUCUUUCGGGUGGCGAGUGGCGGACGGGUGAGGAAUACAUCGGAAUCUACUUUUUCGUGGGGGAUAACUUAGGGCAACUUACGCUAAUACCUCAUACGACUUACGGGUGAAUGCAGGGUAUCUUCGUACCUUGCCCGCUUUAAUGAGCCGUUGUCGGAUUAGCUAGUUGGUGGGUGAAAGGACCACCAAGGCGACGAUCCGUAGCUGGUCUGAGAGGAUGAUCGGCAACAUGGGAACUGAGAAACGGUCAAGACUCCAACGGGAGGCAGAAGAGGGGAAUAUUGGACAAUGGGGGCAAGCCGGAUCAAGAAAGACCGCGGGGGGAAAGAAGGCCCUGGGGUGGAAAAGUCCGUUUGUAGGGAAAGAAAAGCAGGAGGUUAAAAACCCGAUGUAGUGACGGUAACCAAAGAAUAAGCACCGGCUAACUUCGUG
rnacentral:rRNA from 1 species